rnacentral:piRNA from 1 species
UAAAACUGAGAGAAAAAAAGCCAACUCCAUA